UUUCGUCUCCUCCCGCACCCCUCCUCCGUGUGCAUUUCAGCUAUUGGGACGUCCUUCAAAACGGCGUGCCUUGAUCGAUUUCUGGGUCAAGUCCCGGAGGAGGGGAAGAGAGGAGUCGAGGAGGGGUAUUGGGAUGAGGCUACAGUCGGAUGGGUAAACAAAACGUCCCCGUUUUCCAGGCAAAGUCCCCGUUUCCGGUGGCCGGUAUCCGGUUGAAACUCACGAAAAUGUUCCCGUUUUUGAAUGCGCGUUAAAAAACAGAGCAAGGUGAAAUAAAAUGUUACAUUUCAGCAGUGGCG